UGAGGAAUAUUGGUCAAUGGGCGGGAGCCUGAACCAGCCAAGUCGCGUGAAGGAAGAAGGAUCUAUGGUUCGUAAACUUCUUUUGCAGGGGAAUAAAGUGCAGGACGUGUCCUGUUUUGUAUGUACCCUGAGAAUAAGGAUCGGCUAACUCCGUGCCAGCAGCCGCGGUAAUACGGAGGAUCCGAGCGUUAUCCGGAUUUAUUGGGUUUAAAGGGUGCGUAGGUGGUUUGAUAAGUCAGCGGUGAAAGUUUGCAGCUUAACUGUAAAAAUGCCGUUGAAACUGUCGGACUUGAGUGUAAGUGAGGUAGGCGGAAUGCGUGGUGUAGCGGUGAAAUGCAUAGAUAUCACGCAGAACUCCGAUUGCGAAGGCAGCUUACUAAGCUACAACUGACACUGAAGCACGAAAGCGUGGGGAUCAAACA
rnacentral:rRNA from 1 species